CUCCUACAAAGAUGUGACCUCACU
rnacentral:piRNA from 1 species